AUACGGAGGAUGCAAGCGUUAUCCGGAUUUAUUGGGUUUAAAGGGUGCGCAGGCGGCCAUUUAAGUCAGCGGUUAAAUCGUGGGGCUCAACCCCAUUCUGCCGUUGAUACUGGGUGGCUUGAUUGCGGUCGAGGUUGGCGGAAUUCGUUGUGUAGCGGUGAAAUGCAUAGAUAUGACGAAGAACACCGAUUGCGUAGGCAGCUGACCAGACCGCAAAUGACGCUCAUGCACGAAAGUGCGGGGAUCGAACAGGAUUAGAUACCCUGGUAGUCCGCACAGUAAACGAUGAAUACUUGUUUUCGGCGAUAUAAUGUCGGAGGCAAAGCGAAAGCGAUAAGUAUUCCACCUGGGGAGUACGCCGGCAACGGUGAAACUCAAAGGAAUUGACGGGG
rnacentral:rRNA from 1 species